rnacentral:lncRNA from 1 species
GUACGAAGAACGGGCCCCCGAUCUGAAUCAAAUGUUUUGGACCCGCCUUCAAGUCGCCAAACCCGCGUGACUGUCAAAUUAGUUUAGGUGCCGCCCAGAGGAUCAGUUCCGCGGUCGGCGCCAUCAAACAGCUGAUUCCUGGAGUAACCCCAGAGUGCAGUCUGGACGAUGGGGCGGGGCGACACUUCGAGGCGGAGCGACACGUGUCGCCCCGCCCAUAUUUGUUUUCCCCGCCUUUGACAUGUUCCUCCGAGCCAGCAGGGGGCAGUUUGCGUUGAAACAAACAGAACGGUGGCAACUACAGCAGCAGAGUAAUAACGCUAUUCCGUUGAUUGCUUGAGGAUGACAUGAUCAGGAGGUGGUGGUGUUCUGUUCUCCUGGACAGCUUUACUCCGCAAAUAGCUCAACCUCUGAGGGGAGGAACUUCACCAUUCACCAUGUCUUCAGGCAGAGUCCAGCAAAGCAGCUUCCACUGGAAAUCCUCAGGGAAGUUAUUUUGUCGGCGGGUGACUCUGCAUAUUUGACACUUACUCUGGUUUGCAGAUGGUUUAGGGAUGUGCUCCGAAGUUUUUCGGAAAGCGGCACAGUUUGCCUGGCUAGACAUUGUGGCCAACUGGAAGAAUUGUCCUCCUGUCUCCUGACCGGAACGAGUUCAGACGGAUGUACAGCAUCAGGGAACACUUGCAGUGCAGAGCGUUUUUCAAGUUUAACCCACCAGGGUACAGAGAAGAGGCCGGCUUGGUGAUCUUCUGGGCUUUUGUUUACACAGGAUUUUGUUCCAAGGACUGUUUUUUUUUUUUUUUUUUUUUUGCGGCAUGAAACACAUUUGUGUGUUUAGUUAAUUGAAGGGAAAUAGAGAAUGGACUGAGAUCAACUGGUUUUGAUGUAUUAAUUGAUGUCAUUUAAAGUUAAACUUUGCAAUGUAUAAUGUUUUAAUAAAAAAGCUAUGGAAAACACGUGCAUGACAACAGAUUUCAGUCAUUUACAUCAGUCUAUCAUUCUUUAAGGUUUCUCAUAUUUGAUGAUAACAUCAUUUGCUAUGCAUUGCUCAUAAUGGAUUCUUAAUUUAGUUGUGACAGGAUUGUGAGGAUUAAUGAGGUUUUCAGUAGUGCAGUUCAGAAAACAAAUAACAGAAAGUAACAAGUGUUUUUGGGCAAGUUCUUUAGAACCUGUAUAGUUCCUAUAGUUCCUAACCAUGGAUGUAUUGUAGUAAAAAUAUUUGUUGGCAUAUUAAUUACUGUGAGCUGUAAUUAUAAAAACACCAUAGUUUUACUAUAGUUACUGUAGCAGAACCAUGGUAAAUUUUCGUAGGGGCCAAGGGAAUGUUCAGAAUAUUAUGACGUUCAGAGACUGGUGACAAUUUGUUACACACACACACACACAUGUAUAUAUAUAUAUAUAUAUAUAUAUAUAUAUAUAUAUAGAUAUAUAUAUAGAUAUAUAUGUAUGUAUGUAUAUAUAAUUUGAAUAUAUAAAUCAAGGUACUCCAUGACUAUCUACAUAAUCAUACUUCGCAUAAUAUUGCCGUGUC